rnacentral:rRNA from 1 species
GCAACCUGGCGGCGAGUGGCGAACGGGUGAGUAAUAUAUCGGAACGUACCCUGGAGUGGGGGAUAACGUAGCGAAAGUUACGCUAAUACCGCAUACGAUCUAAGGAUGAAAGUGGGGGAUUCGCAAGAACCUCAUGCUCCUGGAGCGGCCGAUAUCUGAUUAGCUAGUUGGUGGGGUAAAGGCCUACCAAGGCAUCGAUCAGUAGCUGGUCUGAGAGGACGACCAGCCACACUGGAACUGAGACACGGUCCAGACUCCUACGGGAGGCAGCAGUGGGGAAUUUUGGACAAUGGGCGAAAGCCUGAUCCAGCAAUGCCGCGUGAGUGAAGAAGGCCUUCGGGUUGUAAAGCUCUUUUGUCAGGGAAGAAACGGUGAAGGCUAAUAUCCUUUGCUAAUGACGGUACCUGAAGAAUAAGCACCGGCUAACUACGUGCCAGCAGCCGCGGUAAUACGUAGGGUGCAAGCGUUAAUCGGAAUUACUGGGCGUAAAGCGUGCGCAGGCGGUUUUGUAAGUCUGUCGUGAAAUCCCCGGGCUCAACCUGGGAAUUGCGAUGGAGACUGCAAGGCUAGAAUCUGGCAGAGGGGGGUAGAAUUGCCACGUGUAGCAGUGAAAUGCGUAGAGAUGUGGAGGAACACCGAUGGCGAAGGCAGCCCCCUGGGUCAAGAUUGACGCUCAUGCACGAAAGCGU